rnacentral:rRNA from 1 species
AUGGGGUCGUUCAAGGGGCACCUUCUGCCGGGAACGCUGUUCCUGGCCGUGGGCGCCUGGAACGUGUGGGCGGCCGUGGCGCGCUUCGCCUUCGACCCGGCCGGGUUCCGCCUCCUCGUCUGGAACCUCGUGGGCGGCGGCAGCAGCGGGGCGCUGCGGCACCUCGAGCUCUACGUGAUCGCCGGAGGCGCCUUCCUGGAUAUGUGCGUGGAGGUGCUUUACUCUACUCAUCUCCACAUAUUUGCACCCGGCGGCGGAGUCAACCCGGCACACCUCAACGACCUCGAGCAUGGCGGCAUGCUGCUCAUGUUCUUCCUCUUCGGUGCCCUCGCUCUCCUCUCUGAAAAGACGAGGUACCUGCCCCUAACGGAGGGCGCGUUGUGUGUGGUGCUGGCAACGGCCUUCACUGCAGAGCUGCUGCUCUUCUACUUCCACUCAACCACCCACCAGGGGCUGGAGGGAUACUACCACUACCUCCUAGUUCUGCUGAUUGGGCUCUGCGUCGCCUCCACCGUCCUCGGUGCGCUCCUCCCGGUGAGCUUCCCUGUCGACCUUGCUAGUGGCGUGCUGAUGACCCUGCAGGGCAUGUGGUUCUACCAGAUGGCGUUCACGCUCUAUGGGCCGCCCUGCCCUGCGGGGUGCCACCACGAUGCUGGCAGGAACAUAGAGUGCCAUGGGCAAGCGGCCGGGGAGCGCGCGGAGCAGCUCGCCAACUUCCAGCUCUUCGCGUGCGUCUUCCUUGUGUUCGCCUACACCUAG